AGUAAUGUCUGGGAAACUGCCUGAUGGAGGGGGAUAACUACUGGAAACGGUAGCUAAUACCGCAUAACGUCGCAAGACCAAAGAGGGGGACCUUCGGGCCUCUUGCCAUCGGAUGUGCCCAGAUGGGAUUAGCUAGUAGGUGGGGUAACGGCUCACCUAGGCGACGAUCCCUAGCUGGUCUGAGAGGAUGACCAGCCACACUGGAACUGAGACACGGUCCAGACUCCUACGGGAGGCAGCAGUGGGGAAUAUUGCACAAUGGGCGCAAGCCUGAUGCAGCCAUGCCGCGUGUAUGAAGAAGGCCUUCGGGUUGUAAAGUACUUUCAGCGGGGAGGAAGGGAGUAAAGUUAAUACCUUUGCUCAUUGACGUUACCCGCAGAAGAAGCACCGGCUAACUCCGUGCCAGCAGCCGCGGUAAUACGGAGGGUGCAAGCGUUAAUCGG
rnacentral:rRNA from 1 species